UGAGGAAUAUUGGGCAAUGCCCGAAAGGGUGACCCAGCAACGCCGCGUGGAGGAUGAAGGUCGUAAGAUUGUAAACUCCUGUUAGAGGGGAAGAAUAACUAAGUUUGGAGCUUAGUAUGACUGUACCCUCAGAGAAAGCCCCGGCUAACUACGUGCCAGCAGCCGCGGUAAUACGUAGGGGGCAAGCGUUGUCCGGAUUUACUGGGUGUAAAGGGCGCGCAGGCGGAAUGGAAAGUCAGUGGUGAAAUCCUACAGCUUAACUGUAGAACUGCCUUUGAUACUUUCAUUCUUGAGUUCGGGAGAGAGAGACGGAAUUCCAGGUGUAGUGGUGAAAUACGUAGAUAUCUGGAAGAACACCAGUUGCGAAGGCGGUCUCUUGGUCCGAUACUGACGCUGAGGCGCGAAAGCGUGGGAGGCAACAAGGAGUUAUAGACCUACGUAG
rnacentral:rRNA from 1 species